CGCGUUCGAGUCAAUCCAAGUUUGUAUAGGUGUUCUGUGCCAAUCCUUGCUGUGUUUGAAGCGAUGCGAAAACUGGGAAAGUUUGUAGUUUAGUGCUUUAGUACGUCGCAGGCCCAGCAAGGCGUAUUGCAGAAAGUUUCCUGCUCUCUUUGGAAUAGCUUGCGGGUGCAUCGAGACAUGCAGCAUGCAGUUUCCACCAGAGCUGAGAGGUAGCCAGCCCUUUCUGACCUCAGGUUUUCAGCAGCCGGAGCAGCCCUGGGGUGCUCCGUCUACACUGCCUGUCACCCAUGGCCCCCCAUCAAUGCCAGCAACCAUGCCUGCAGCACCACUGCACAGCGGGUUACCCACGUGUGCCACCCCGCAUGGUGCAGUUCCGCCGUGGCCAUCAUCCUCCCCUCCGCUGGCGGCGUUCACCACUGUGCCCACCCCAUGGGUGCAGACAGUGCCCAAUGCUAUGCCAUGGGCCACCUAUCCAACUCCUACCACUGGGGAACUGCAGGUCAUGCGAUUCUCAGCCGGCGAGGCUCCCAGAUGGGCCGUGAAUGAGCGGCGCUUCCGUAAGCGGCACCUUCCUCCUUUAGUGGGCGCUGGGUUCCCACCGAGGAAGCAGAUCAUCACUGAGGAGAAGAUCACGGCACAAAUGAAUGACCUUAGCCUGGACGGGAUGGUCGCGGCCUGCAGCGAGGAGGAGGAGGAGAAGCGGCUGCAUGUGCUCUGCCCUGACCUAGAACCCUCGCCUGAGCCCCUGCUGCCACGGCCCGUGCUGGAGGACCUGAAACAAGAAAAAUGGUACCAAAUUUCCCAGAAACUUCCCAGAAAUGCAGCAUGCAGGCAGCCACGCCUCCAUUGCAAGCAUUUGAGCAGCCGCAAGCGGACAUCUAUGGCUGUGGUGCUAUGGCAGCCCCCCCCCCUGGGGCACCCCCCCGUCCAGGAUGGAACAGCUGAGGAGAGCAGCACGGACACACAGGAACAAGAAUCGGGACCCUGCCCUGGUGUCUAGACCCGGUCAGUGGUACCAGUUGCAUCGGCAUCGGCGCCGUGGUCCAUCUGCUCAGCUGGGAUGCUGUAGACCCAGGACGCAAAUCCCGAUGCAGGGAAAACAAAGGGAGAAGAACAGGAGGACACCAACAUGGAUCUAUGACAGCCAUUGCCACUCCUGGAGAAAGCUUGUGGCAUACCAGUGGCGACAUGCUCUGGUCUUGCCCUGACAGGUGUGGCAUGUCAAGGCUUUUUGCGAGCCAGUCACUGCACAUACAAGCCAACGACAUACAUCAUCACCUUUAAUUACUGGCACAAGUUGUUGAAGCCGUGACAGAGUGUACUGCCGACCUGCUUGGUGAAAGGAAAGGCACUUACAUUCAAGUGUAUUGAUUAACAUUGCACAUAAGAAAAGAAAGUAAUAAAAGCCAAGUACUGAAUAA